rnacentral:rRNA from 1 species
GUGGGGAAUAUUGGGCAAUGGGCGAAAGCCUGACCCAGCAACGCCGCGUGAAGGAAGAAGGCUUUCGGGUUGUAAACUUCUUUUGUCAGGGACGAAAAAAAUGACGGUACCUGACGAAUAAGCCACGGCUAACUACGUGCCAGCAGCCGCGGUAAUACGUAGGUGGCAAGCGUUAUCCGGAUUUACUGGGUGUAAAGGGCGUGUAGGCGGGAAAGCAAGUCAGAUGUGAAAACUAUGGGCUCAACCCAUAGCCUGCAUUUGAAACUGUUUUUCUUGAGUACUGGAGAGGCAGAUGGAAUUCCUAGUGUAGCGGUGAAAUGCGUAGAUAUUAGGAGGAACACCAGUGGCGAAGGCGAUCUGCUGGACAGCAACUGACGCUGAGGCGCGAAAGCGUGGGGAGCAAACAGGAUUAGAUACCCGUGUAGUCC